rnacentral:rRNA from 1 species
UACGUAGGGAGCAAGCGUUGUUCGGAUUUACUGGGCGUAAAGGGCGCGUAGGCGGCGUGUCAAGUCGAUUGUGAAAUCUCCGGGCUUAACUCGGAACGGCCAAUCGAUACUGACGUGCUAGAGUGCAGAAAGGGCAAUCGGAAUUCUUGGUGUAGCGGUGAAAUGCGUAGAUAUCAAGAGGAACACCUGAGGCGAAGGCGGGUUGCUAGGCUGACACUGACGCUGAGUGCGCGAAAGCCAGGGGAGCAAACGGGG